rnacentral:lncRNA from 1 species
CCGACAUUGGUGCCUUAGACACAAUUGAUAUAGUGAGGAUAACUCACCUGGCACUACUGAAGUCUCGCAGAUAAAACUCUAGCUGUUGGUUGACAGCUUCCCAAACUGUCAAAAUCAAACAAUACCCAAUUAAUAAUUGGUUCCAAGCUUAAGGUCCAACUCACAUUUCAAAAGCCCAAAAGCCAAGUAAUGGGCCAAAAGCCAACAUAUGGCCCAAUUUUCCAAAUUGGGCCCAGACCUCUACAUGGUUUUUCCUUAAGGCCCAUCUAUUUAUUCUAGUCCAAACUUUUGAUAUUCCCAUGGCCCAAUAUCGCAUAAUCGUAAGGGCCAAUAAUGGCCCACCUAUGGCCCAAUUUUCCAAAUUGGUCUCAAGUCCCUCAUAUAGGCCUUAUCCUAAAGCCCAUCUAAUUAUUUUAGUUCAUUUACUUAUUCUUGGAUAGUCCAUCAGUAGCCCAAUCUCCAAGCCCAAUGGAAAGGUCCAAUUCAAGGCCCAAGUGAGAUUAGGGUUUUCAUGUGAAAUGAUGAUUAGGGUUAAGUAUUUCUUACUUAAACCCUUAAGGACUUAAUCCAUUAAGUCCAAUAUUACCUUAGGUUAAUUUUCCAAUGAUUACUAAUUAAUAUUUUAACUCAACUAAAUAACUCCCAUGCGUGUCCUGAUAAAUCCCCAAAAUUAGGGUUUUAAGCCAUUAGGGUUUUCCAAACCCUGAUUAGGGUUUCCUACCCAAUACUAGCCCAUUAGUCUAUUGGUUGGGUUUUAAGGUCACUUUGGGUCUCAUUGGGCCCAUUAGGGUUUUAUUCGGUCAAUUAGGACUUGUAUUGGGCCCAUUAGGCCCAUUAGAGUUUCAUUAAGCCCAUUAGGAUUUCAAACAUCCCAAACGAGUCAAAGAAUGCAAACAAGACACACCGCCACCCAACACGGCGGCCGGUGGUGGUUUGAGUUUUUUUUCAUUAUUCUUCUUUCUAGUUACAUUUACAAUGCUAAACCCCAAAUAAUCACACACACAUACUAAUACAAACACAUAUACACAACAACCUACGGGUGGCCGCCGGUGGCACGUGGGGGCAGCGGUGGUGGUUUUUCUUCGGAUCUCUGACCAAGGGACACUCCGGCGGCCUAAUCCCAUCACAGAACACGGACACAACACCACAACACGCACACACAUCCCUUUUUGCCUGGAAAACAAUCCAACACCCACAGAGGUAGGUGGUGAAGGCAGCAGCGCAAGAAGACGGGCAACAACGGCGGCGCUACAGCGAUGAUUGGGUCUACAACAGCAACGACAGCGACGGUGGUUCUCGGCUUGACGUCGGCGGUGCUUCAAUAGCGAUGGGAGCGUCUUCAAUGAUGGUGGCGGCUGGAAGGAUAUGAGAUGGAGAGGAGAGAGAAGAACGAUGGAGGGUGGCAGCGGUGCAAACGAGCGAGGCUCGUUCACAGUGUCCUCAUCCGCAUCAGCUGUCCCGACGUCCUUUGGGUGAUCGAAGAAGCAUGGAAGGUGAACAGUGGCGGCUGGAGGGAGGUAGGUGUGACGGCUGUAUCGCAAUCGAUUUAGGGUUAGGUUUUGAGAGGGUAAUGAAGUUAUAUACCCGGUACCUUGGCCUUUUUCCCAUAAUAACAAGAAUGGUCCCUCCUCCUCUAUUUUCUUUCAAAACAGAUCCAUAAUUUUCCCUUUCAAUCCUUGUCCCCAUAAUUCUUUUCAAUAUAAGUCCAAUAGUCACAAAACAAUCCCUCCUCU